UACGAAGGGGGCUAGCGUUGCUCGGAAUGACUGGGCGUAAAGGGCGCGUAGGCGGUUCGUACAGUCAGACGUGAAAUUCCCGGGCUCAACCUGGGGGCUGCGUUUGAUACGUACGGGCUUGAGUUCGGAAGAGGGUCGUGGAAUUCCCAGUGUAGAGGUGAAAUCGUAGAUAUUGGGAAGAACACCGGUGGCGAAGGCGGCGACCUGGUCCGAUACUGACGCUGAGGCGCGAAAGCGUGGGGAGCAAACAGG
rnacentral:rRNA from 1 species